GCUUUUCAUGAAGUUACCCAAGGGGCUUUGGAACUGUAUUCUCAAUGCUUUUGAGGUAGUAGCUAGGUCGAUGCCAGGAAUUGUGCAUAAGUUAUUGGAAGAAUUGGAUUUUGGUUUCAAAAAUGAAAGGGGGAAAAUAUUAUAGAGUUGAUCUGUUCAAUUUGGUGGUCCAUUUGGAGAGAGGAAUAAUCAGGCAUUCAGGAAUGAGAGUCGAAAUAUUUCCCAGGUAGCACGAGAGGAAAAUUAUCUCGUGGGCAUUGGUUCAAAAGGAAUUCAAAAGUGUUUCAAGGUACAAUCUGAGAAGAGGAUGGCGGGAAGCUAUGGAAGACAAGCAGUGGGCUCUUUUCUCUGAGAUCAAAGAAAUAAAUGGGAAGAAGCGCAAAGAGGACGAUUGCUAUGGCUUCUGGAAACAGGUCUCCUAGAAUUUCAAAUAUGGAUUUUGCAUGCUGAUUCAUACAUUCAUGAAGAUAUAAUACACGAGGUCAUCAAUAUUCCUGAGGAGAGGUUUGCUCUGCUAUGGAACAAGUAGUUGCAAGGAUUUGGAGCCCUUGCCGGGUGUUCUUCUUCGAUCCCAUGGUAUGGGAAGAGACACAUAAAUGUGGUAAAACAUAAGAAUCAUGCUGUAAGAAGAAGUGAAGUAAGCUUACGAGUUCGGCCAGCUUGAAACGUCUAAACCCAGUUUGCAAUGGCAGUAACAGUAUUCCUGCAGAACGAGCCAGUUCCCACACGGUCAGUUUGGUAAAAUGGAGAUUCUGUGGUUACACAUGAUGGUUCUCGUGAUGUUGAUCGAGUUGCCUAUCAGAAUGAUACUUUUUGUAGCGUCUCACAAGCAUGAAAACUUGCAGAAAUAGAAUUUCUACAAUGGAUGAGAGGAUUCUAAUGCCUCCCUUACUCUUAGAGCACAACAAAAUCAUGUUAGAACCAGCCCGGAAAUUACACCAGGUUUGUUUAUUAGCCUGAAACACUUGUAAUCUA